CGGAAACUGGCGCAAUCGGCUAGCGCACACGCUUUGGGAGCGUGGGGUUGUGAGUUCGAGUCUCACGUUUCCGACCA
rnacentral:tRNA from 1 species